rnacentral:rRNA from 1 species
AACGAACGCUGGCGGCGUGGAUUAGGCAUGCAAGUCGAACGGUAUCAUCCUUUCGGGGGUGAGAGAGUGGCGAACUGGUGAGUAACACGUAGGUUAUCUACCCUCAAGACGGGGACAACCCAGGGAAACUUGGGCUAAUACCGGAUGUGAGCAACUUUUAGUUGUUUGAAAGGUGGCGUAAGCUGUCGCUUGGGGAUGAGCCUGCGUCCUAUUAGUUAGUUGGUGAGGUAACGGCUCACCUAGGCAAUGAUAGGUAGGCGGCCUUAACGGGUGGUCGCCCACACUGGGAUUGAGAUACGGCCCAGACUCCUACGGGAGGCAGCAGUCGAGAAUAGUCUACAAUGGUCGGAAGACUGAUAGUGCGACGCCGCGUGAACGAUGAAUCCCUUCGGGGUGUAAAGUUCUUUUAUAUGUGAGCAGUGCUUCUUAUAUUAACAGUAUGGGGAGAGAGAUAUUAGCAUAUGAAUAAGCAACGGCUAACUCCGUGCCAGCAGCCGCGGUAAUCUA